GUUGACAUCUUCAAAGAAUUCCUAUAGAUACUACAGCUAUCCAGUACACUGGAAAAAACCCAGAACCUCAUCUAGUUUUCAGAGGGGAAUUGAAGCAGGGUGCUUGCAGGACCAUGCCGGGCCACAAGGGAGCACCCUGGGACAGCACCUGUCUAUGCAACGUACAGCGAUCAAAUCCUCAAACACGGGGGCCCCCCGGAUUUGUGGCUUGGCAGCUCUCACUUCCCAAGGACUUCGUGGCUUGUCUGGAGACCCUGUGAGGGGUCUGAAUCCAUCCUGGAGGGCUCAGGUGGCCCAUUGAUUCCAAGCACCGAGUCCAUCCCGAGUGAAGUCCUCUCCAGAAGUCCUGAACCUGUAAAAUCAUUGUUGUGUUCGGGUGAACAAGUGUUAAACUUAUUGGUUCUCAGGAGGUUUCUGCUGCCAUUUGAAUCAAACUGCAAAUGAUGAUGCACUUAUGAAAAGAAAAAGUAAAUCAUCUGGUUGGACUGUGCAACCAGCCCCUAGAAAAAACUGACUUGAAAGAUCCUGUUCUUUCCAAAUGGGUCAUUAACUGGUUCUCUUGCCUGGUCCAGGAAUCCAUCCAGCUUCAUCAGUGCCGAGUAAUAGUUCGGUAGGGAGGGGACAGUGCUGUGUGUGGGACUGAAGGCUGCCGAAUGAGUCA